GGGGAGUCUGAUUCAGUGGCUUACAGUUUGAUUUGGCCAAAAGAGACGAGAUGGGGCCGCGUAGUAGGGGCGGCAUGAGCAGAAGCCGGAGGAGCACGCGGUGAAGGUAAUGGGUGGAGGGGAAGGGAAACGAUGGUAUCUAGCUCAAAGAUUAUUUAUUUCCUUGUGGGCCCAUCGCUAUGCGGCAUCCAUAUCAGCAAAACAAUCCAUCAAAACAGCUCGAUGGCCAACCGUGAACGGUUUUAAUAGUUUGGUGGUCAAAGAUUCCUGAUUUUGGGGUUUCAUUGUCAAAACCAAGCUGACACGAUAAUUGGAUGGUCAAAAAUAGACUUUACUUUAAAAAUAGCUUGCUCCAAAAAAUUAGCUUGCGACGUUUGGUUGUAUUAGAUACUUGAAAAGAUAUAAAUAUUUUUUUUGGUAUAUUGUUUUAUAUAAGUAUAAUUUUGCUAUAUUUAUAAAUAGCUUUGAGUAAAUUGCACCUACC
rnacentral:lncRNA from 1 species